AUUCCAUGAUGGGGACAUUAUAGGAUGUAGUCUUGGAAGCGCUCCCAUGCUUCUGGAACAGAUUCAUCAUGUUGUUGCUGAAAACUUGUAAUCUUCCCACAGAGAGU
rfam:Sorghum bicolor cultivar BTx623 chromosome 10, whole genome shotgun sequence.